GUUACAUAAUCAUACGACCAAUUACUUAUACAUGUAUGUGUAUGUGUAUUUACUGACAUGGAUUCGAGAUUACAUGCAUAAUCAUAACGAUCACCUGAGUGUAUUUUUAAGACGAUUUUCUUGUCAUCAAAUGCGGAAAUGAGUAAUCAAAGUAUAAAGAUUGUCCGUGUAACAAAGGAUGAUUAUGAUAAAGUGUGCGCUAUAAUUCCACCAGAUGAAAUUUACAGUGGAACUGACUAUCUUCCGGAUUACUUUCACAUGCUACUUGAUAUGCCAAAUGUUGAAGCGUAUGCAGCUGUUGUUGAUGGUAAAUUUGCUAGUUUUUAUCUAUUUUCUAUAGUUGAUAAUGGAAGAACAGUGAUAAAUCGGGCAGCCAGGACAAACAAAGGGUAUGCAGGAAUGGGAUUACAGCCUAUUUUGAAGAGAAACACACUAAAGAACCGAAACUUUGACAAAAUAGCAGCAACCGCUGGAGCACACGUUGAAGCAAUAUUAAAUCUAAUUAAGGCGGGGAAAAGAGAGAAAAUUCUAUUGUUGGAAUUCAGAUCGUUUAUUACAUCAGUAGAUCAACUGAAAAGUAUACUUAACACAACUGGAAAUAUGACACCUACUUCCGCUCAACCAAUUAAUGAAUCCGAACUUGCCGAUAUACUUACUAAUCAACAAGUGUGUUGUCAUCUCUUUCCAGAAGACCGUGUCAUUGUUGACUGGGUUCCGUAUCGACUGAUAAAAUCGAACGCUUCUCUCAUCAAAACAAUACGAACAACAGUUAUCGGUUCUAAUUUGAAAAAUGAUACCAGAAUUCUAACAUUUGCCAACUAUUUCACUGCUUUAGCAGGACUGGUAUGCAAUAUAGAGGUUUAUGGACGUGUCGGGGAAAUUUUAGCCGAACACAUAUAUUUACAUCUGCGGGAAUUGAUUUCAAAUGUGAUUACUGGAAAGGUCAUUAUUCGCUGUUUUUUUCAACAGGAAACUAACUCAAAUUUCAUAACUAGUUUAAUGAACCGAUUUGGGUUUGACUUUACAGAAAUAUGGGGAACUAGGUUAGUGUGCAUUGAAACGACAUCAGAAAUUUAUUUCCGUGAGAGCAAAUUGUAAAGGAGAUUUUUGAGGCUUAGUAUGACCACCAUGAUUCCAGUAAAGAAUAACAAUCCUGCCGAAAAGUACAAAGACAGCUAACAAGAACACGGCACAUAUGGGUGGUGCUAGGUACCCAGUAACAGCUUGAAUAUACAGGAAAAGUUGUCCCUCCUGAGAAUUUUGUAUUAGCGGUAUCCAUGCAACGCUUAUGCCAACCAA